CCGGAGUGAGACCCUGUCAUUUAAAAAAAAAAAAAAUUAAAAUUAAAAGUUAAUUAGUUUGGCAUCUUUAAAUUAUAAGACAUUAAUGCAUUUUUUUUUUAAGAGAAAAAUAGAAAAAGAAGAAAGAUAAAACAGCCCCUUAUGAAGUCUUACUCCUUUGGGCAAAACUUGGUAUUUUUUAUUCUUUCAGAGAAUGUGACACAGACCCUCAGAGGAUGAUGUUUCUGUUGCCUCUCAUCUACUGCAGUUCGUUAAUUUCACCUCCUGCUGACUUGAUAUAUUUUCUGCCAUUUGGCAUGUUAAAAAUAUAUCCUUAGUUUUAUUCUGAUGUUAGUGUGACUGAAAUGCAAAGGAUACUUUUUGGGGUGCUCUGAACAGCUUUCUGGUACCGUAUUGAGUUACAGUGGAAGAGAGUAACUGCUUUUUCAGUUAGAGUCUUGUGGGAAACGGAAUGUUUCCUGUAGACAUUGUGCUAUCAAAUUAUUUUUCUGUGUUUUAAUGUUAAUUCGGCACACUAAAUAGCCACGUGUGUAUCUGUCGUGGGUGUGUAAAAUUAUCCCCAGUUCAGGAAAAAGUGUGUCAGUAUUUAAUCUAUCUUUAAUAGAAGCAUCUGCUUCAGUGGACAGGAGACCCCACAAGGCCACAAAAUAAACUGGUUAGUUGGCUGCACUGUAAUUAUGAUGUAGCACAGGAAAACUACCCAGUAAAUAGGCAGUGAAAUUUUUUUUGUGAAGUACCUUAUUUAGGCUUUAAAGCCAGCCCAGUUGUGGGAGUACCGGGAGUUCUAGUAAAGGAGAAGCAUUGUGACAUCCUGAGUGUAGAAGGGGAAAAUGUCAUAGUAGCUUUACGUGUGGCACUUGGUAUUCCUUUAUGUAAGUUGAAUCAAACAUGCUUUUAAGCUCUUGGCCUUUCCUACCUGGGUUUCAUGAGACAGAGUUAAAUUCUGCAGAAAAUGAUUUGAAUGCCUAUUCUCAGUUUCCCCUGGGAGGAUACCUCCCUAGUUGGCUUUAGAUGCAGAGAGAGAAAUGAGUUCCUUACAUACUGUGGGUGCCUUAGGCUUAGAGCAUAAUCUUCUCUGGGAGUCUUAAUUGAGAGGGGCUGGUAGGUAAUGUGGCUUAAAUGUUGCUCAUUAGUUUUGUUCUUGCGUGUUUUCCAAAUUCAGCUAAGGAGUGUAACAAGUUUUACCCUGUUUUCUUUAUUGUAUAGUCUCUGGAACAUGGAAUAAAAAGGAAAAAAAUUGGCAACUUGAGAAGGAGGACAGACAAGGGGCCUGAACAAGACACGACCUCUAAGUGACAGCAUCUGUAGUCGGUGGCUGGGAGCACAAGUUUUAACAUUGCUUUCACUUACAGAGUCAGUGAUGAAGCAUAUCCAAAACAAUUUGUUUUAGUUAAAAUUUUGGUUUGUUUCUGUUUUGAUCUAGCAAAAAACAUGUAAGAAACAUUCCUGGUGGCUUUGUUCUUAAUAGAAAAACUAAAAAAUCCAACAUUAGGGGAUUUGUUAAAUAAAUCAGGAGCCAUUAUGUAGGGAUUGAAAACUAGGACAGUGUGUAUAGCGUGGUUCCAGUUAUGUUUAUGUAAAUAUUUACACAUUUUAUAUAGGAAAACACCAUUGUUUUAAAAUACACAAUUUUAUUAUUUUACUUAAAAGUUUGUAAAAUUGGAUGGGACUUUUUUUUUUCCCUCAAAAAAGCUAUUGAUAAAACUUACUUUUAAUUUUAACAAAAAUUUGAAUGUUAUUUUAAUUGCAGAACACUUUCUGAGCCUGAAAAAUGGCUCUUGGCUAGUUUGAACACCAGUUAGGCAGGUUUAUUUCUUGGUUACUUCAGAGCUGAUAUAUGUAGUUUAUUCAAACAACCAUCUCUCCUUCCCUCCCCCCCAAAGGUUUUAUUUAAUCUUCAUUUGUUACAAGAUACAGGGAGAGGAGAGAAAUUCAGAUCAUCGCCUUUUUUCCCCUUCCUUUUAACUAAAUCUGUUUUUACUAACAGCACUAAAAUAUUUGUUUGAAAAAUGGAAGCUUAACCUGUCUAGACUGUGACCUAUGCAAUAAAAUGUAUGGUCCAGGACUACUGGUGUGGAGUGUCUUGGGCUGUUUAGGGAGAUUUCCUUGUACUUGUACUUCCUAAGAUCUUGCUAGAUCUGGUUUUAGGAAUUGCAUUAUGUUGAAAUUUUGGUUUCUUGGCUAAGGUGAUGUUUCUGAGAUACUUGUAUUUUUUAUCUCUAGAUACUAUUAGCUUUUAUUAGCAGAACUACUGAGAUUUUAUUGUAAUAUUUUAAAAAGUAGUAUAUCCAGUAUUGUUUUUAUAGGCUUAUUUGCAGGAUAAUAGUAAGAUUAGAAAAUUCAUUAGGAUAAUAUAUUUAUUAUUGAGUGCCUCAUGUAAUUCUCACUUGGAAUUUUGGAAUAGCUUAUACUUCCUGAUACAGAGCCGUGGGGAAUUAAAUUCAUUAAGAGUAAAUAUUUUAAAUUUUUUAUAAAGCAGAACAGCUAAUUUAACUUAAUGGAGGGUUUUCAUAUUUCUUGUGAUAAACUAAACUGCACAUAGUUUAAGGAACUGUCAGCCACGUAGGCCAUGUAACAGCUAUUCUUUCCAAGCCUAGAAUCCAUGCCAUUGAAUUUAUGCAACAAAUAUUUAAUGAAUAUCUACUAUAUGCCAGACAUGUUCUGCUGAGUGUGCAGUAAUAAACAAAAUACAGAAAGUCCUUGCUUUUAUGGUUACACUCUCAGGGUAAAGGCAUGCGGUUACAUAGCCAUACCAUUGGUGCUUGGUAGGUAAGGCUAAGUAGAAAAAACAGGAAGGUAAGAGGCCUGUAGAGAAUGUGGGAUGUGAGAGGAGGGAUGGCUUCUUCUGUAAGCCGUCAGAGAGGGCUUCUCUGUUAGGUUCCAUUUGAGCAGAAACUUGAAAUAAGUGGGGAAUGAGCUAUGUGGAUAUAUGGAGGAUAUUUUGGAGAAGAGCUUUCUAGCCAGCAUUAGAGUAGUACCAGAUCAUCGUAAGUUUUGGUUUUUAUGUUUGUGUGAUGGAAAACCAUUGGAAUGUGUUUUGAGGGUGAUCUUAAAUUAUAUCAAUUUGUCAUGCAUAUGUGAAGAAAUGGACAGAUGGAAUUACAUUAUAGGGAGCAAUUCUUUGUGUGCCACGCAUUGUGAUUGAUGUUUACAGAUUCGAUCUUAGAAUUUUCAUUAAUGCCAUUUAUUUUUCAGAUGCACAGUUUGGGUGGUUUCUAGUUUUUGCCUAGAACUUUCUCAUGGAGCAUUUGUGUCUUCAGUUCCACUUAAAAUGCGUUUUCUAAGGUGGACCUUGGUAGCAGUGGACAGAAGUUCUCCCUACUUCAGUCUUUACCACCAUGUGUUUUUUCAUAUAUGCUGGCCAUUCUUGUGAUGAAUAAUGAGGUUGAUGACCUUUUCAAAUGUUUAUUGGCUACUCGGAUUUUUGUGGUUUUUUGUGUGUGUGUGUGUGUGUGUGUGUGUGUGUGUGUGUGUGAAAUACCUGGUUAUCUUUUAUCUAUUUUCUAUGGGGUUGUUAUAUUCUAAUUGAUUCAUAGCAGUGACUGCCUUUCCAAUUAUUGUAAGUUUCUUCCUUAGUCUGUGGCUUGACUUGGAGCACUUAUAAUGGUGUCUGUCCUUUGACAAACAGACAUUCUUAAUUUUAACAAUUUGUUUCCUUUAUGGUUAGUGUUUUCUGUCCUGUUUUUAUGAGGUCUUUCUUACUAUUCUUCCGUAGAUACCCUCUUAUAUUGCGUAAUAGAAGCUUUAUUGCUUUGUCUUUCACGUUGAGAAAGUGAAAUUGGCUUUGUAUAUAGGAGGGGAUUGAAGGUCAGGUUUCAUUUUUUACUGUAUGGAUACCUAGUUGCCCCAUCAGCAUUUAUCGGAAAGAGUGUCAAGUUUUCACUGCAUUGUCAUCUUUGUCAUAAAUCAGGUGACUGUGAGAGUAACUGAUCAGUUUCUUGACUGUGCUCUUGGCUUGUCUAUUCUUGUAGCAAACCUACGCUGUCUAAAUCAUUAUGAUUUUGUAAGUUAUCAUGAUACCUGAUAGUGUACUUUUAGUUGUGGUUCCUCAAGAGUGCCUUUAUUUUAUCCUUUCCAGUCCCUAUGCUGUUUCUUUUUCUUGCCUUUGGUAUUGGCCAGUUCAGAUGGUGGUAGUGGGCAUCACGGGUCAACUUUUAAACAUUUACCAUUAAGUGUGAUAUUUACUGUAGUUUUCGUAUUUGCUUUUUAUCAGAUUAAGGAAAUCUUAUAUUCCAGGUUUGCUAUGAGUUUUUAUGAGUGGUCAUCACCAUUUACCAUCUAGGUCCAGUGUAUCCUUUUUACUGUUUAUAUUUUUAACUAAAUUUUGCAAAUAAUUUACAGGUCUAAAAAUAAGGAAUAGUGAAAAACAAUUUUAUUGGAAAGGUUAAUCAGAAUUUCAACACAGCAGUUCUCUUUAUAUGAAGCGAAUCUUGAUGCAUAAACAUUAUGAGCGAUUUAAAAAUACUGCCACAUGUCAGAACAAUGGGAUUGUCUAGGUUCUUGUUGCAGAUUAUUGCAUGAUGAAGUCCUUCUUGUUGAAUGACUGACUGGAUGGGAAUAUCCUAUUUCCUUUUUGUUCUUACAAGUGUAGUGUUCACUCAUUGAUUCUUUAGUUUUCCUCAUUGAAAUCAGACAGCCUUUGUUUAACAUUCACUAAGUUCAGAUGUGUGUAGUUUUCUUCCUCCAUUGUCAUGGUCUCUUCUAGGACUUAAAGAGAUAAGCCAUUACAGAAUUCCUGCUUUCAGAACCUAUUUCUGGUAUCUUCAGGGUUUUUUUCUCCUAGCCUCUGACCUGAAGAAGUUAAAAAACUUACAGGUGUAGAAGAGGAAAUAGAAUUUAGAGAUCUUUUAUUCUAGCAAUCUUAUUGUGAUAAACUAUAUUUAAUAAAAUUUGCCAUUUAACAAUUCUUUUGUGUAUACUUUUCAGUGACAUUGAUGAUUUUCACUAUUAUGUAACCAUCACUGUUCUUUAUAAAACUUUUUCAUCACCCCAAACAGAAACUCUCUACCCAUUAAGCAGUAACUCUCCCAUUCUCCCCUCACUCACACCCCUAGUCAGUUAAGAUUAUACAUUUUGUUGCUUGUGUUUUUGGUGUCAUAUCUAAGAAUCCAUUGCCAGAUUCAAGGUCUUGAAGAUUUAUACCUAUGUUUCCUUCUAGGAAUUUCAUGAUUUUAGCUUUUAUAUUUAGGUCAUCGAUCCAUUUUGAGCUAAUUUCUGUAUAUUCAUUGAUUGUUGAUUUUUGAGAAAAUUCAUCUAGGAUAUUGUCAUCUGAAGACUCAUAAUCUGAGAUUUAAUUUAUGCUCUCAUUUCACCAUCAUCAUGAGUGUCUUUCUGUGCUAUCCAGUGUGGUAGCCAUUAACCACAUGUGGCCAUUAUACUUAAAUUUAAAAUUCAAAUUAAUUAAAAUUAAGUAUAAUAAAAAUUCAGAUUUUUGGUUACGAUAGGCACAUCUCAAGUGCUCAUUAGUCACAUUUGGCUAUUGGCUUGUAUCGGUCUGUGCUGAUGAAGAUUCUCAUCAUCAAAAAAAAAGAUACUGGACUUCAUUGGUUAAGAGUGCUACUAACUCUUUAUAUUCAUAAUCGGACUUGUUUAAUAAUAGUGAAGUACCUUUCCAUCACUUUUUUCCUCUUUCCAUUAUAGGCAGAAAAUAAAAAACCUGAAUUCUCAACUGUGUUUAUUGAAAGCUAAAGGCAGACUACAAAGAUGGCGUCUGCUAUCAUUUGUACUUUCUUGAAAGAUGAUGCGAUACCCUAGACAAUGCAGUGAGAAAACAGAAGGAUGAUAUUUUACUGUUGAUUGCGUCAUCCUUCUAGGUGAUUACAGAAUUCUUUUGUUUUCUCAUUUUCUUACUAUUUAGUUUUUGGGUUUUUUUUUUUUU